rnacentral:rRNA from 1 species
AUUGAACGCUGGCGGCAGGCCUAACACAUGCAAGUCGAACGAGUGGCGGACGGGUGAGUAAGGUCUGGGAAACUGCCUGAUGGAGGGGGAUACCUACUGGAAACGGUAGCUACUACCGCAUACCAUCAAAUGUGCCCAGAUGGGAUUAGCUUGUUGGUGGGGUAACGGCUCACCAAGGCGACGAUCCCUUGCUGGUCUGAGAGGUUGACCAGCCAAACUGGAACAUAUACACGGUCCAGACUCCUACGGGAGGCAGCAGUGGGGAAUAUUGCACAAUGGGCGCAAGCCUGGUGCAGCCAUGCCGCGUGUAUGAAGAAGGCCUUCGGGUUGUAAAGUACUUUCAGCGGGGCGGCGUUACCCGCAGAAGAAGCACCGGCUAACUCCGUGCCAGCAGCCGCGGUAAUUC